AGGAUCCUGGCUCAGGAUGAACGCUAGCGGGAGCCUAACAUGCAAGUCGAACGGGAUUGGGAGCUUGCUCCCAUGAGAGUGGCGCACGGGUGAGUAACGCGUAUGCAACCUGCCUUUAACAGAGUAGCCCAUAGAAAUGUGGAUUAAUACCUCAUAGUUCUAUUAGAUCGCAUGAUUUGAUAGAUAAAGCUCCGGCGGUUAAGAUGGGCAUGCGUGACAUUAGCUAGUUGGUGAGGUAACGGCUCACCAAGGCGACGAUGUCUAGGGGUUCUGAGAGGAUGAUCCCCCACACUGGUACUGAGACACGGACCAGACUCCUACGGGAGGCAGCAGUGAGGAAUAUGGUCAAUGGGCGCAAGCCUGAACCAGCCAUCCCGCGUGCAGGAUGACGGCCCUAUGGGUUGUAAACUGCUUAUACACCAAGAAAAAUCCGAACGUGUUCGGACCCGACGGUAGUGUAUGAAUAAGCAUCGGCUAACUCCGUGCCAGCAGCCGCGUAAUACGAGGAUGCAAGCGUUAUCCGGAUUCAUUGGGUUUAAAGGGUGCGUAGGCGGCUUUUUAAGUCAGUGGUGAAAUCCUGUCGCUUAACGAUAGAUUGCCAUUGAUACUGAAAAGCUUGAGUACAAUUGAGGUAAGGGAAUGUGUAGUGUAGCGGUGAAAUGCUUAGAUAUUACACAGAACACCAAUUGCGAAGGCAGCUUACUAAACUGUUACUGACGCUGAUGCACGAAAGCGUGGGAGCGAACAGGAUUAGAUACCCUGGUAGUCCACGCCGUAAACGAUGAUCACUCGCUGUAUGCGAUACACAGUAUGCGGCCAAGCGAACAUUAAGUGAUCCACCUGGGGAGUACGAUCGCAAGGUUGAAACUCAAAGGAAUUGACGGGGGCCCGCACAAGCGGAGGAACAUGUGGUUUAAUUCGAUGAUACGCGAGGAACCUUACCUGGGCUUAAAUGUAGAGCGACAGCUUGUGAAAGCAGGCUUUCUUCGGACGAUCUACAAGGUGCUGCAUGGUUCGUCAGCUCGUGCCGUGAUGUCGGGUUAAGUCCCAUAACGAGCGCAACCCUUAUCGUUAGUUGCCAGGGUCAAGCCGGACUCUAGCGAGACUGCCACCGUAAGGUGUGAGGAAGGUGGGAUGACGUCAAAUCAGCACGGCCCUUAUGUCCAGGGCUACACACGUGUUACAAUGGCCGGUACAAGCAGCUACCCCGCGAGGGAUGCUAAUCUCUAAAGCCGGUCUCAGUUCGGAUCGAAGUCUGCAACCCGACUUCGUGAAGCUGGAUUCGCUAGUAAUCGCGCAUCAGCCAUGGCGCGGUGAAUACGUUCCCGGGCCUUUACACACCGCCCGUCAAACAAUGGAAGCUGGGGUACCUGAAGUCUGUAACCGCAAGGAGCGGCCUAGGGUAAACUAGUAACUGGUGUUAACGUAACAAGGUAACCGUAAC
rnacentral:rRNA from 1 species